rnacentral:pre_miRNA from 1 species
UUUUCUACAUAUCGGAAUGAUCUGAAAUUUGGAGCGUGUGUUUAUAAAAAAUAGGCGAAUCUACGAAAAAAUAUCAAAAAUAUAUUUUACAUGAAAUAAAUUGACCAAAAUACCACCGAAAAGUUUCAGAGGUAUUUUAGUCAAUUUGUUUUUCCUGAAUGAUUUUUUUUAUAUUUUUAUUAGGUGCACCUCACUAAAAUGUAUACAUGCUCCAAAUUUCAGAUCAUUCCGAUUUGUUGAAAA